UACGUAGGGGCCUAGCGUUGUCCGGAUUUAUUGGGCGUAAAGAGCGUGUAGGCGGUUUGGUAGGUCCGCUGUGAAAACUCGAGGCUCAACCUCGAGACGCCGGUGGAAACCAUCAGACUAGAGUCCGGAAGAGGAGAGUGGAAUUCCUGGUGUAGCGGUGAAAUGCGCAGAUAUCAGGAAGAACACCCGUGGCUAAGGCGGCUCUCUAGUACGGUACUGACGCUGAGACGCGAAAGCGUGGGGAGCGAACAGG
rnacentral:rRNA from 1 species